CUCUGCCCUCUUGAGUAGCUAUGCAGAGGUUCCCAACUGACUUCAGAUAUUAAUAACAGAUAUAUAUAUAUAGAGAGAGAGAGAGAGAGAGAGGGAGAGAGAGAGAGAGAAGUAGUUUUUACAAGGAUAUUAGAGUGUAGUCUUUAAGCCAAACAGAUUUGGUUAAUACCUGUUCACGCUACCUGAUAAAAUACAUGUAAUUAACUUAUGUAUACAUUUUAUUGGUGCACCGUAUGCUUUUUAUUACAACCUUUAACACAGUCAGUCUUCUAUAGGAUACUAUUCUUUCUUAUAGGUUGUAAGCUAAUAGAAGAAAGGGAUUACUUUUAUUUGUUCUUCACAUUAGGCCUAAUAUAUUGAAUUGUAUCUACAAGCUGCUGAGCAGUCCUGUGAAACCUCCAACAUUAUCUCCAAAUCCGAGGGGAAUUCUGAGUGAGUGAGUGGCAGGGCCGGGAGCCAUGCCCGAGGGCCACGAGCCUGCAACUCCUUCUUCAUGCCAGAAGUCGCAGCGACCUGUCAUGCCUCCGGCCCUCAUGAGGCCACAGGGCCAGGCACACAUUCUCAGCCCCACCAGGGUAGUGCCAGCAGAGGACAAAGGCUCCCAUUCAGAGUGAACUGCUCCAGCCGCAGGCCCCGAGUGGCCCCUCUGAAGCUAAGCCACCUUCCUCCGUGCACCCCGCUGCCUCCCGCCCAAUUCCACCAGCUUCUCUGAAAUCAAUCAGGUCAAGGUCAAACGGCCAAGGUGAAGCCAAACCCAGGGAAGCAGAUUUAGAGAACUGAACAGACACCUCACUGCCAGCUCACAGUUGUGACUCAGCAGAAAUUCUGGAAUGAAGAGCCAGAUGUAAAUGUUUGUGGAAGAGAAGAGAAUAGAUGCUUGUGGAAUUGGCAGUGCAUGAACAAACGCCACACUGAUGAAGGAGUGAGCGAGUGGGUGAAAGGCUGGGCCCUUCGCUCUGCUGAGCGGCUCUGAGGAAACUUCCUUUAGCAGGCUCAAUAAAUUCAUGGCUCUGGGCUCUCCACAACUGGACUGUCUCGGCUUAAUUUCUUCUUCACAUGAUGGAACAAAGAAAGAAAGCAGGAGAUUCAAGUCUUCAGAUCACUUGCUCUUCUGCUGAGGUUUCUUACAAGAUUCCAUCUCCCUCUGCUCUCCGUCAACCAUUUCCGUCAUUGCCACGAAAUAGAUCACUCUAAAAUGGGAAUGCAGGAGACUCUUACUAACUGUGCAGAAAUGGAUAUAAGGAACUAGCUAGUUGUUCUCCCUUUAAAAAAAGAAAAGAAAGAGAGGAAUGAAAAAGAGCCAGAGCCACUUCAGGAAGAAAUAAGCUAUCUUCAUGGAAGCAUCAGAUAGAAUCUAGAAAUAACAUCCAAAGUGGAAAUUUG
rnacentral:lncRNA from 1 species